CUACCCCUUCACCUAAACACCUUGCGAGCUCGGCAGGACUGAGCAUGGAUAGCGCCUGGGAUGGGGCUACGAGCUCGGCGGGAUUGAGAUGGGACAGGGCAUGGGCGCGAGGGCUACGCGCUUGGCAGCAGCAGAGUGCACUGCGGGAAAAAAACCUAUCGGACUGUACACCAAAUACGCACUUACCAGCGUGGUGAAGUAUGGUCACAUGACUUCCUGCUCUCCCAACAACCUCCACGUGGGUGUAUGGGUAUCUGUGUAAGGCUAUGGGACAUGUUUUACUCUCUUUAUACGGGCUCCGUUUGCGCGAUUUCGCGGCUAACAUUUAUAACCAAAGCAAAUUCGCUAUAUGCGGUUUGAAUUCACUGGCGCAGCCGCCGGACGUGGUGACAGCGUUGUUGUACUGUACGCGCCCCGAGCGGCCUGCUGGUGCGGUGCAUUGUGGGUUGGGUGACUGUACGCGCCGUGCUGGGCGCCACCGCUGCUGCCCCCCCCCCCCAACGCGCGUUCCCGGUUCCCCUCGCUUUAUGCGGGUUCCGUUGGUGUGAUUUGUGUGUACAUGCGGCGAACAUUUUUUUUGUACCCAAAAUGUGAUGUAUGCGGUUUGAAUUAACUUGAACGCCGCCGGAGUGUGACGAGCCCUGUGUGUGCAUGGCGGUGUGCGGCAGGCAGCGGUCUCCUGCCGUUUCGAUUUGUGCGCCAUUUUCUUGCAACGCAACUACCGCAUAAAGCGAGGGGAAAAUUGUACUCUCAUUGUUAUCGCGCACAUAUCUAUGCCAGUUUCUGUCUUGUUAUGGCUGCUAAACGGCCUACUAGCUCUCUCCCUGGACCAUCAAUGAAGCGGAAAAGGACUGCAUUAACACUUGAAGUUAAGUUGGAGAUUUUACGGCGUGCGGAAGCUGGUGAGGGACCGGCCGCGCUUGGGCGUGCGUUCAACCUGGGCGAGUCGACCAUACGCGCCAUCAAUAAGAAUUCCGCCAAAAUCAGGAGUUCUGUGAUGCAUUCUACACCGCUAUCUGCCAAGAAGACGACAAGAGUAAGAAAUCCAUUGUUGGAGAAAAUGGAGAAGAUGUUGGUGGUGUGGGUGGAAGACCAGUACCAGAAGAAAAUUCAUAUUUCCUCUUCCGCAACGCGAGCCAAAGCCAUGGAGCUGUACGAGCGCCUGCAGCAAGAGGAAGGUGGCUCUCAAGAGUCGUUCUUGGCGAGUAAGGGCUGGUUCGACAAGUUUAUUAAUCGGCAAAAUUUGCACAGUAUCAAAGUCACCGGUGAAUCUGCAAGUGCAGAUCGUGAAGCUGCUGCUAAGUUUCCGGAGGAGCUGCACGCCAUCACAGCUGCUGGAGGUUACAGUCCAAAGCAAGUGUUUAAUGCGAACGAAACCGGGCUUUUCUGGAAACGCAUGCCAUCUCGGACCUACUUACAUAAAGCAGAUAAGGGUACGCCCGGUUUAAAAUCCUCAAAAGACAGGCUGACUCUCCUGUUAUGCGGCAAUGCUGCGGGAGAUUUCAAGUGCAAGCCACUGCUGGUCAAUCGCUCCCUCAACCCACGUGCAUUGAAAGGGCUGAGCAGAAACAUGUUGCCGGUACACUGGACUGCAAACAAGAUGGCAUGGAUGACGGGACAAAUUAUGGAGGACUGGUUCACUCAACACUUUUUGGUGGAGUCGGAGCGGUAUUGCAGGAAGGAGAAUCUUGCUUUUAAAGUAUUGCUCAUCCUUGACAAUGCGCCGGGUUACCCGAAACACCUGGCAAACAUCAACCCCAAUGUGAGGGUCUUGUUACUUCCCCCCAACACGGCGUCGCUGCUCCAGCCUCUGGAUCAGGGGGGGGUUGUAUCCACGUUUAAGGCCUACUACUUAAGGCGGACCAUCUCCCAACUGCUCGAGGGUACUGACGGGCCCGACAAGCCGACAGUUCGUGACUGCUGGAAGGCUUACAAUAUUAGGGAUGCAAUAAAUAAUAUUAAAUCAUCAUGGGAUGACGUGAAGCAAUCAACUAUGAAUUGUGCUUGGAAUGCCAUUUGGAAAGAGUGUGUGAUUUACUUAAAUUGCUUCCCCGAAAUGUCAACAGCUGUGCAAGAUGUUGUUGACCUUGGACGGGAGUUAGGAGGGGAAGGCUUCUCUGACAUGCGGGAAGACGACGUCUUGGAGCUCCUCGAUUCCUACAAUGAGGAAUUGACUGUUGAUGACUUAAUGUCAAUUGCAGCGGCUGAUGAAGCAGAGGAGCAAGAGGUGGUCCUCAAUGUCAAGGACAUGACUUCAAAGAAGUUGACAUACUUUUUAUCUCAGGCUGAUGCUCUUGCUCAAACUGCCAUGGAUAUGGAUCCUAGCCUAGAGAGGAGCCUACAGUUCAAACGUGCUUUGAACUCGAUAAUUGCUCCAUACAAGGAGGUGCAUGCACAGAAACAGCGAGCGAAGCAGUGCACCAUGUUUCAGUUCUUAAGGCUCCGCUUUGCCACCCCUUCCACCUCUACCAUCGAUCCUGCUGGCCCUUCCACUUCUACCAUCGAUCCUGCACCAACCUGCAGCACCUCCACCGCCUCUCAAUUGCUGCUGGCUGGUGAUGACGGCCUCAUUCAUGUGAAUUCUCCGCUGGAUAUCACCCUGCCUGUGGAUGUCGAGUCUGACCCAGACGACCCUCGCACCAUCUAGACUACCAACCACGCCCACCACCACUUGUGCUUGCAUAUUUCCUUCUGUUGGCUGCUGCCCGGGGUUUCUUGCUGCGGGCGCGCCUGCGUGCACUACGAGGGGACUAUGAGCGCGUGGUGAGCGAGGUGCAAGGCGGCCUGGCUGGGCUCAGCUGGGUCGAGGGCCUUGUGGCCCGGCCCCAGUUCUGUAGUGGAGACGCAGAUCCAGCAGCGCCACACGCGCCUGGGGAUGCCCCGGAGCGUGAUGCCACCCGGCUCCCGAGAGGUUACAAAGGGGAGCAUGCAGACCCGGAGCUUGGGGAGGGAGCCCAGGGGACGGCGCCCCAAGCCCAAGGAAGCCCCCUGCUCACGCAAAGGGGCCCCGAGGAGGCUGCGGGCACGAGGGAUCCAGCAGGUGCUGCCCCUGGGUUGGAGGGGCUCCCUCUUCUCCAGAAACCUCCACCAGUGGAGGUCAACAUGUUGGAGGAGCCCCCCUCGCUGGAGGAGCCCACUUCCUUGGAGAAUUUGCAAGAACUUCGAUCCAGCUUGGCCAUGGAGCUACUAUGGUUGCAGCAAGCAAUUGCCAGCCGCAAGAACUACCUGACCUUGCGGGGUCACGUGGCACGGCCCAGGUGAUUCGUGGAUCCUCUUGCAGAAGUCACCCUUCACACCACCACGCCUCGUCCUCUACAGUGGAACUUGUCGUGUUGGAUGUGGUGGGAGGUAGUGCAGCAAAAUUACAACCGUGGUGAAGUAUGGUUGAAUAACCCUCAUGACCAACAGGGCACAAGAAGGGUUAUCUAGGUUGAAUAAAGGACUACAUUAUUUUUUGUCCAUUUCUUGUACAUGUUUACAUGCAACACUUGUUUGAGCUCUCUUGGAUAAAAUAAAACGUGAGCUUUGUAAUA